rnacentral:rRNA from 1 species
UGGGGAAUAUUGGACAAUGGGCGCAAGCCUGAUCCAGCCAUGCCGCGUGUGUGAAGAAGGCCUUUUGGUUGUAAAGCACUUUAAGCGAGGAGGAGGCUACUUGGAUUAAUACUCUAGGAUAGUGGACGUUACUCGCAGAAUAAGCACCGGCUAACUCUGUGCCAGCAGCCGCGGUAAUACAGAGGGUGCGAGCGUUAAUCGGAUUUACUGGGCGUAAAGCGUGCGUAGGCGGCUUUUUAAGUCGGAUGUGAAAUCCCUGAGCUUAACUUAGGAAUUGCAUUCGAUACUGGGAAGCUAGAGUAUGGGGGAGGAUGGUAGAAUUCCAGGUGUAGCGGUGAAAUGCGUAGAGAUCUGGAGGAAUACCGAUGGCGAAGGCAGCCAUCUGGCCUAAUACUGACGCUGAGGUACGAAAGCAUGGGGAGCAAACAGG